rnacentral:rRNA from 1 species
UACAGAGGGUGCGAGCGUUAAUCGGAAUUACUGGGCGUAAAGGGCGCGUAGGUGGUUUUAUAAGUGGGAUGUGAAAGCCCCGGGCUCAACCUGGGAAGUGCAUGCCAAACUGUAAGACUAGAAUACAGGAGAGGGUGGCGGAAUUUCCGGUGUAGCGGUGAAAUGCGUAGAGAUCGGAAGGAACGUCAGUGGCGAAGGCGGCCACCUGGACUGAUAUUGACACUGAGGCGCGAAAGCGUGGGUAGCGAACAGG